UGUUUGACUGCUUUUAGGGUGAAGACACACCAACCCGAUUUUCGGCGGUUGGACGUCGUUGGUCAGUCUGGUGAGGUCUGUGACGUGAGUCUGUUUGGUGUGCUCUGUGCGAUUGGCCACCGUUAAUGCUGUUGCCAGUCUUUUCAGCCGAUUCAACAUGUGUAAUCAGCCACUACCCAGUCGUUCAGUCUGACCAAUCUGAUUGGUGAAGAGAUAGCCCUUGACUAGCGAAUCAGUGAACGAGAAGACCGGAAUCUUUCUUCUU